rnacentral:snRNA from 1 species
GUGCUCGCUUUGGCAGCACAUAUACUAAAAUUGGAAUGAUACAGAGAAGAUUAGCAUGGCCCCUGUGCAAGGAUGACAUGCAAAUUUGUGAAGCGUUCCAUAUUUUU